rnacentral:rRNA from 1 species
UUCUCAAUGAUUAAGCCAUGCAUGUCUCAGUAUAAGCUACUUAUACGGUGAAACUGCGAACGGCUCAUUAUAUCAGUUAUAGUUUCUUUGAUAGUGUUUUUUCUACAUGGAUACUUGUGGCAAAUCUAGAAACAAUACAUGCUUCCAAGCCUGACUUUUCGGAGAAGGGCUGCAUUUAUUAGACUUAAACCAAUAUCUUUUCGGAGAUUGUUUUGGUGAUUCAUAAUAACUAAGCGAAUCGCACUUUUAGGCGAUGAAUCAUUCAAGUUUCUGCCCCAUCAGUUGUCGAUGGUAGGGUAUUGGCCUACCAUGACUAUCACGGGUGACGGAGAAUCAGGGUUCGAUUCCGGAGAGGGAGCCUUAGAGACGGCUACCACAUCCAAGGAAGGCAGCAGGCGCGUAAAUUACUCAAUGUCAACUCGACGAAGUAGUGACGAGAAAUAACCAUGGGGAGCCAUUUUGGUUUUCCAAUGGUAAUGAGAGCAAUGUAAAAACCUCAUCGAGGAUCAAUUGGAGGGCAAGUCUGGUGCCAGCAGCCGCGGUAAUUCCAGCUCCUAAAGUGUAUACUAACGUUGUUGCAGUUAAAAAGCUCGUAGUUGAACUAUUGGUUUGGGGUGUUUGUGGCUCUUUGAAUGUAAAUUCAUUGUAUUUGCUCUUACGCCUUGCCAUCUUGGUUUUACUUUUAUUAAAACCUCUCUCACUGUGAAAAAAUUAUGGUGUUCCAAGCACAUAGUAAUUGUUCGGAAUAUUUCACUAUGGGGAUGAUAAAAUAAAACUGUUGUUGCGAUUUUGUUGGGUUUGUACAAUAACACAAUGAUUAACAGGGACAGUUGGGGGGUAUUCGCAUUUUAUAUGUCUCAAGGUGAAAUUCUUUGGAUUUUCUCAAAGACAAACUACUCGCGAAAACAUUUACCACGGGAUGUUUUUUUUUAUUCAAAAAACAAAAAGUUUUGGGGAUCUCAAAAUGAUUAUAAUACCCCUCCUCAUUCCUUAUCCCCCAGAAAAAUACCCCCCAUUUCGAUUUGUCCCCAAAUUUUUUUUUUUUUAAAUUUGUGGGGCCACCCCCCCCGAGGAAGACAACAAAUCUUUUUUUUUUUUCCCCGGGGGGGGAAUUUUUUCCCCCCCAAAAUGUGAAGCUUUUUAUAAAAAUUUUUUUUCAAAAGGGGGCCCCCCCCCCCCCGGGGGGAGGCCCCCCCGCCCCUUUAUUAUUGUUUUCUCCCCCCCCGGGGAAAAAAAUUUCUACACAGGCCCCCCCCCCCACUGAAAAAGAGAAGUGUUGCCCAAAACUGGUAAAGAAACCCGUUCCCCUCGGUACUUUCUCCGGGGGGGGGGGGUUGGGGGCCUGGCGGCGCCCCUCUUUCUGUUUUUUUGUUUGUGGGGGGGGGGGAUUUUUUUUCUCUUGGGUUGGAUAUUUUAAUCCCGUUUUCAUGGUUAAGACCGGGGAAGGGGACCCAAGGGGCGCCCCCCUACACACAAAAACCAAAAAACAAACCCCCAUUUCGCGCUGGGGGAAGGCUUCCAACUUAGGGAGAAAAAAAAAAAAAAUCCAUCUCUUUCAAAAAGACGGGGGGAAAAAACUUAUUUCCCCGGGGGGGUUUGUGUUUCCUCCCCCCCGAAAAAAGGGAAGGAAUUUCUUUCUCGGGGCGGGGGGAAAACCAAACCACGCGGGCACGGUUGGUGAAGAAGAGGACCCCCCAUCUUAAAAAAAAAUUUUCUCCCCGGGCCCGGGCCCC